GUUGGGGUGGCAGAGCCCGGUAUUGCAAAAGGCCUAAGCCCUUUAAACGAAGAAUCAAAUUCUUCCCCCAACU
rnacentral:tRNA from 1 species